rnacentral:lncRNA from 1 species
CAUGUCCGUAUCGAGAUACCAUCCGGCUACAUCAGGCCCAUUAGGAGAUGGUGCAAGCCAUGGCAGACCGAUCUAAGCAUCAUAUGCCGCAGCUAUGCCUCUGUGAUACUUUUUGAUUAACGUCAUAAUGUACCAGCUUAAAGAGAAAUUUUUUACACCUAGUUACAGAUAAAAUAAAUUAUACUGUGAAUAUUUAAUUAGCACGGUAUUCUUCUAAUA